GAAGGAGAAGUCGUAACAAGGUUUCCGUAGGUGAACCUGCGGAAGGAUCAUUGUCGAUGACCCACUAGGCUAACCGGCGAACUUGUCACAUCAUUCUUGGAGGUGAUGGGAAUGUCCUUCGGGGCCCUAGAUACCCUCCUCCCCCUCCCUUGGUUCUUGCUUCUUUUAUCGAUGGUCCCUUGAGGAGUAGAGAAACACGGGGGGUGGGAACAACCAACAUCGGCGCGGCAUGCGUCAAGUAAUCACGAACGGAAUAAGGCACCUCCUUCGCAGAGGUGGUGCUGUAGACCCGAAUAAAAUAAGAGAUGACUCUCGGCAACGGAUAUCUAGGCUCUUGCCACGAUGAAGAACGUAGCGAAAUGCGAUACUUGGUGUGAAUUGCAGAAUCCCGUGAACCAUCAAGUUUUUGAACGCAAGUUGCGCCCGAGGCCACCAGGCCAAGGGCACGCCUGCCUGGGCGUCACGCUUUGCGUCGCUCCCCCACCUCCUUGCCCAUACGGGCUUUGUGGUGUUAAGGGGAAGCGGAGAUUGGCUGCCCGUGCCAUGGUUGCGUGGCCAGCCGAAAAGUGGGCCUCUGGCGUGUUGCGACACGACGAGUGGUGGUCAAAUACCCUUCUCAUCGCAUGGGACGUCGAGUCGCUUUGCUAGUGGCACAUGAACUCUUGGAGCCGUUUCGCGGCAACCUGCAUUGCGACCCCAGGUCAGGCGGGGUCACCCGCUGAG
rnacentral:rRNA from 1 species